rnacentral:rRNA from 1 species
AUACGUAGGUGACAAGCGUUAUCCGGAUUUACUGGGCGUAAAGGGCGUGUAGGCGGUCUUGCAAGUCAGAAGUGAAAUUCCUGAGCUCAACUCGGGCGCUGCUUUUGAAACUGUAUCCCUUGAGGAUCGGAGAGGCAGGCGGAAUUUCUAUGGUAGCGGGUGAAUGCGUAGAUAUUAGGAGGAACACCAGUGGCGAAGGCGGCCUGCUGGACGACAACUGACGCUGAGGCGCGAAAGCGUGGGGAGCAAACAGGAUUAGAUACCCUGGUAGUCCACGCUGUAAACGAUGAAUACUAGGUGUGGGGGGACUGACCCCCUCCGUGCCGCAGUUAACACAAUAAGUAUUCCACCUGGGGAGUACGAUCGCAAGAUUGAAACUCAAAGGAAUUGACGGGG